CCCACCUCGUUGUCCAUCGGAGAGGAUCGUUUAUGAAGAUCGGCGACUUCUUGGAGUCAUUUUUCUCAAAUUUUAGAGGUAUCCCGUGUUCAUUGUCAACUCUUUACUUCAAAUUUGCUGUGUCUUUACUUUAUUGACUAAAAGAACCCGCUGGUUUGGGGCUUUUGUUGGAAUAUUUUCUCAAGAAUGAGGAAGUCAGGAGGACAACAGGGCGUUUUCCGCUUCGUCUCCUUUACUUUGAGAUUUUUAUUACUUUCUAGGGUCAAAUAUUUUUACAUCCAAUUCUGGGACUGCAAGUUACUUUUAAGCUGACGUCUGUAUUACAGGGUGAUAUUUGCUAUAAAAACUCAGAAUGUGUAACGUCUGAGGAUUUUCAAUAUGGCGACGGAACUUUGGUCUUGGUAACACCGGUAGAUUCCUCUCCCUUUAAGCCCAGCUGAGGGAGGGUGGAGGCGGCCAUGACAGUAGCCGGGGCCGGCUGCUUUUUUAUUGAGUUAAACACAGCAGACAACAAGCUUCACUAAGCAGAAGAAUCAUCGAAGCGAACUGUUCUUCCUUCAAAAUAAUUUUUGCGUACUCAAGGUCAGUCUGGACAUUUUAAGACCGAUUAUCUUGGCUAUUAAAAACAACAAAAAACAGCAUAAGACAUCCACACUAGACCUCAUUUAUUUAUUUUUUAACAAUUUUGUUAUUGCUGUUUUUUUGCCAGCAGCUGCCGAUUAAACUGAAUCUUACAACCUUGACAUGAUUGUAUGAGUGAUUUCAUGGAGAAAAUGGUCGGACCGCCUCUCUGGCUGCAGUGUGCGCUCCCAACACAGGGAUUUCUGAUCGCUCUUCUACAGGUGCCGCACUCCACAGCGCUCCUUCUCUGUGUCUAACUGCCGACUUUUCGAUCAGCUGGAUUUCCGGUUUGACGUGUUCAGUUUCUAGCACAGCAGAUAAAGGAAGCAAAGGGGGAGCGACACAUCCAGCUCUGGAGAGACAUGCUGGCGGACUGGAUUCAACGUUUGCUCCAUGAUCGGUUACUAACGCGCUAGAGACUCGGAGAGACGGUGGAGAAUUUUCACAUUCACAAUACAUGUUACAUGGAGGAGGAAUUUUACAAAUAAAAAGUAAUUUCAACUCAAUCAUACAUUUUUCCCCAACAGUGCAUUAAAUUAAGUUGAUUACUAAAUUGGAUUGAAAAAGUUUUCCAUCAGAGUUUUAUUCACGUUCCUGGAGUUUUUGAAGCGAGCAGCAGGCGGAGUUUUUCCGGUUCGGGAUCACCACGAUGAGACGAAUUGGCUCCACAUGAACACUCUGGGGCAUUUCAAACCCAAACGGUUCUUUAAACCAGAGCCCGCUGCAGCUGCUCUAUCCAGAGGUGAAGGCGUCUCCACACGGCCAUGAAGACUCUGUAGAGGGGGACCUCCAGCUGCAGCACCAGUUCCUCCCUCUCGUUGUAGUUUAAACGAACUCCGAACCAAUAGUUCUCCCAGGGUCCAACUCGCUGUGCGUCUCCAUUCAUGAUUUGCUGAGUAUCACGUCACGUUGCUGAUUUCUCUUUGAGUGUGGAUGGGUCCAGGCGAGGCCAGCCUUUGUGCCAGAGAUUGCGAUUUCUCCGCAGAUUUUUCAGAACUUUGCGCAUCUGUUUGUUGACUUUGUUAAGUCGAAAUUUUGUCCGCAAAUGUAAUGAAAGUGAAGCAAAGGCUUGACGACUCAUUAGGAAAUUGUUCACCAAUGUAGUUAAUGCAAAUGAAUUGCCGAGACAGUUUGCGGUAAACUCAAUUCCGAGCUUUUUCCACAAGACACUCUCACCAGAAUUUUUUUUAAAAAUAAUAAUGCUACACCAAACUUGUGUCCUAAGGUCAAAUUUAGGAUACAAUGAAUUUAUUUCAGGUCAAAUUUAAUUCUAUCAGUGGAAACUUAAUUUUUUCAAGUAAAGUCCAAGUAAAAAGCUAAUUUAAGUUCAAAUUUAGCCUUUUACGUUAAUUCAACACAGAAACUAAGUUGUUAUCACUAAACCAAAAGAAUUAAGUGAUAAGUGUCAGAGUUCCGGUGUGAGAGCGUGUGCAUGUGAGUGCGAGUGAUACAUCUUCUUUCAGCGAGGAUCUUCGUGAGGAGUCUGUGGAGCCAGCUCAGGUGAAGCUGAUCUGCCUCAUCAGCGUGCUGGAAUAUAGGAGCGGCAGAACCCUUCAGUCUUCGCUAGAUGGUUAACGCAUACCGGUAGUCACUCUGGCCUCACCUGUUGAUCUUGUUUCUAGAACUUUGUUGUGCAACUCGUAGCGACUAGCUCUCUGUGUCCUGUUCGUUUGUUUAAGGAAUUUUUUGUCUUCACGUUUCAAGAACUUGCCGAGAAUACCUGCCUGCUCCGCCGUUUCCACCGAUCCCAUCUCGCUCCAACCACCCGCGAUUCCGCCUUGCACUCCCUCGCGCCGGACCCUGGCACCUCACCCCCACGCUCAGAAAGAUCCACGCCAAAUGCCACCUGGUCGGGCGACCCUCGCCCUCCUGCCGAAGUCCAGAGAACUGAAUAUAAUUUGUCCUGUUGUAAAUAAAUCACUUACCUUUUUCA